GAUGAACGCUAGCUACAGGCUUAACACAUGCAAGUCGAGGGGCAGCGGGAUUGAAGCUUGCUUCAAUUGCCGGCGACCGGCGCACGGGUGAGUAGCGCGUAUCCAACCUUCCGUACACUCAGGGAUAGCCUUUCGAAAGAAAGAUUAAUACCUGAUGGUAUGAUGAGAUUGCAUGAUAGCAUCAUUAAAGAUUUAUCGGUGUACGAUGGGGAUGCGUUCCAUUAGGUAGUAGGCGGGGUAACGGCCCACCUAGCCUGCGAUGGAUAGGGGUUCUGAGAGGAAGGUCCCCCACAUUGGAACUGAGACACGGUCCAAACUCCUACGGGAGGCAGCAGUGAGGAAUAUUGGGUCAAUGGACGAGAGUCUGAACCAGCCAAGUAGCGUGCAGGAUGACGGCCCUAUGGGUUGUAAACUGCUUUUAUAAGGGAUAAAGUGGGAGUCGUGACUCUUUUGCAUGUACCUUAUGAAUAAGGACCGGCUAAUUCCGUG
rnacentral:rRNA from 1 species